GCCCCUCAGUCCUCCAGCAGAUUACCCAGCGUCCCUCGGGGCUUGGCCCAGCUCUGUUCCAUUGCGCUGCGGCUCCGAAUGAAACCAAUUCCAAAUUGAGUCCUGUGGUUAAGAUGCGGCCUGGGGGGUCCCGCAAGCAGCGCCUCCGCCGUUGGGGCGGCUAUGGGGGAGCCAAAUGGGGGCAAAUUAACCCCAUAGACGCCAUAGGAAGAGGGAUUUUAAGGGUUUUAUGGGCGUUUUAAGGGGUAUAAUGGGAUCUCUAUGGUUUAUUGUUGGAGGACUGGGGGUAUAAUGGGAUCUCUAUGGUUUAUUGUUGGAGGACUGGGGGUUAUAAUGGGAUCUCUAUGGUUUCUUGGAGGACUGGGGUUAUAAUGGGGGUGGGGGGGAUCAUAGAGACGAUGGAGGACUGCGUUGGAGGACUUGGGACCAUAGAGAUGCUGGAGGACUGGAGGGACUCUGGAGGACUUGUGACCAUAGAGAUGUUGGAGGACUGCGUUGGAGGACCUGAGACCAUAGAGAUGCUGGAGGACUGAAUCCUAGAGCGUCUUUUCUGCCUGUCUGUGCUGUUCUGUCCCAACCAUAGAGUUUAUAUUUAUAAUGAAGGUUUUUUAUACCAAAAUAAACCAUUUUGGGCCGGUUUUUACCCAUUUCAAGGCCUCAUUUCGUUCACAAAAGCCUCCAAAGCGCUGAUUGGGCGCAAAAAACAGCGCCAAACCAUUUUCCUUCACCCAUUGGUCGCCUCACCCGUCAAUCACUCUGAACCCCCUUCCUAUUGGCUGAGCAGCGCGGCGAGCCCACCUUCCUUUCCCAUUGGUCGGCUCGCCUGUCCGUCACUCUCCGCCCCUAUUUCUAUUGGCUGAGAGGACGCGCCCGCCUUUUCCGGAGUCUUUGCGGCAAGAUGGCGGCGCCCGUGUGGGCGCGGGGGCUGCGCUGCGCCAUGACGGGACAAUGGAGGAUGAAGGCUGGAGCCCGGUUCAGGCCCAGAUGUUGGGGACACAGUUUUGGGGUCAGCGCCCCCCAGAGCAGGAACCAGGACCUAAAAUCAGGUACUUAUGGGGUGAUAUGGGGUCUCUAUGGGUCUCUAUGGGUCCCUAUGGGGUUGUUAUGGGUCCCUAUGGGUCACUAUGGGUCCCUAUGGGGUCUUUAUGGGUUCUUUGGGGUCUCUAUGGGUCCCUAUGGGGUUCUUAUGGGGUCCUAUGGGGUCUCUAUGGGUCCCUGUGGGGUCAUUAUGGGUCUCUAUGGGUCUCUGUGGGUCCCUAUGGGGUCUCUAUGGGUCCCUAUGGGGUUCUUAUGGGGUCCUAUGGGUUUCUAUGGGUCCUAUGGGGUCCCUAUGGGGUCUCUAUGGGUCUCUGUGGGUCCCUAUUGGGUUCUUAUGGGUCCCUAUGGGGUCUCUAUGGGUCCUAUGGGUCACUAUGGGUCCCUAUGGGGUCUUUAUGGGUUCUUUGGGGUCUCUAUGGGUCUCUGUGGGUCUCUAUGGGGUUUCUAUGGGUCACUAUGGGUCCCUAUGGGUCCUAUGGGGUCUCUAUGGGUUUCUAUGGGGUCUCUAUGGGUCCUGUGGGGUCUCUAUGGGUCUUAUGGGUCUCUAUGGGUUCGCUAUGUGUCCCUAUGGGGUCUCUAUGGGUCCUAUGGGGUCUCUAUGGGUCACAAUGGGUCCCUAUAGGGUUGUUAUGGGUCCCUAUGGGUCCUGUGGGUUUCUAUGGGGUCCCUAUGGGGUCUCUAUGGGGUCAUUAUUGGUCUUAUGGGGUCUCUGUGGGGGGAUAUGGGGAUCUAUGGGUCUCUAUGGGGUUCUUAUGGGGUCCUAUGGGUUUCUAUGGGUCCUAUGGGGUCACUAUGGGUCUCUAUGGAUCCUAUGGGGUCCCUAUGGGUCUUAAUGGGUUCGCUAUGGGUCCCUAUGGGGUCUUUAUGGAUCCUAUGGGGUCCCUAUGUGUCUCUAUGGGGUGCUAUGGGGUCAGUAUGGGUCUCUAUGGGGUCUCUAUGGGUCCUAUGGGUUUCUACGGGGUCCCUAUGGGGUCUUUAUGGGUCCUAUGGGGUCCCUAUGGGGUCAUUAUGGGUCUUAUGGGGCCGCUAUGGGGUCAGUAUGGGUCUCUGUGGGUCCUAUGGGGUCUCUAUGGGUCCCUAUGGGGUCUCUAUGGGUCCCUAUGGGGUCUCUAUGGGUCCCUAUGGGGUUGUUAUGGGUCUCUAUGGGUCCCUAUGGGGUUCUUAUGGGGUCCUAUGGGGUCUCUAUGGGGUCUCUAUGGGUCCCUAUUGGGUUCUUAUGGGUCUUAUGGGUCUCUAUGGGGUCACUAUGGGUCCCUAUGGGUCCCUAUGAGGUUCUUAUGGGUCCCUAUGGGUCACUAUGGGGUCUCUAUGGGUCUUAUGGGGUCUUUGUGGGUCUCUAUGGGGUCCCUAUGGGUCCCUAUUGGGUUCUUAUGGGUCCCUAUGGGGUCUCUAUGGGUCCCUAUGGGGUCUCUAUGGGUCUCUAUGGGGUCAAUAUGGGUCUCUAUGGGUCCCUAUGGGGUUGUUAUGGGCCCUAUGGGGUCAUUAUGGGUCUCUAUGGGUCUCUAUGGGUCCCUAUGGGGUUGUUAUGGGUCUCUAUGGGUCCCUAUGGGUCGUAUGGGUCUUAUGGGUCUCUAUGGGGUCUCUAUGGGUCCUAUGGGGUUGUAUGGGUCCCUAUGGGUCUCUAUGGGUCCCUAUGGGGUCUCUAUGGGGUCAUUAUUGGUCUUAUNGGUCUCCCUGCCCCACACUUUAGGCUGGAGCCCGGUUCAGGCCCAGAUGUUGGGGACACAGUUUUGGGGUCAGCGCCCCCCAGAGCAGGAACCAGGACCUAAAAUCAGGUUCACAGCGGAGCUGGCUCGUGCCUACCUGGCUGUGAGGCUCAGGAGGGACCACGCGGCUGUGGGGCGGGCACUGCAAGAGGGCGGCCCACGAGUUAUGGGGCGGCAGCGUGCGGCACUACGUGUGUGUGGGGCCAUCCAGGGCCAUGAGGGACAUGGGGGAGAGACUGAGACACGGUGAGGGGGU
rnacentral:lncRNA from 1 species